rnacentral:rRNA from 1 species
CCUACGGGAGGCAGCAGUGGGGAAUAUUGCUCAAUGGGGGAAACCCUGAAGCAGCCAAGCCGCGUGGAGGAUGAAGGUUUUCCGGUUGUAAACUCCUUUUGUUAGAGAAGAUAAUGACGGUAUCUGACGACUCCUCACCGGCUAACUCCGUGCCAGCAGCCGCGGUCAUACGGAGGGUGCAAGCGUUACUCGGGAUCACUGGGCGUAAAGGGCGCGUAGGCGGGAUAGCAAGUCAGAUGUGAAAUCCUAUGGCUUAACCAUAGAACUGCCUUUGAAACUGUUAUUCUAGAGUAUGGGAGAGGUAGGUGGAAUGCUUGGUGUAGGGGUAAAAUGCGUAGAGAUCAAGAGGAAUACUCAUUGCGAAGGCGACCUGCUAGAACAUAACUGACGCUGAGGCGCGAAAGCGUGGGGAGCAAACAGGAUUAGAUACCCGAGUAGUC